AGCUUCGGUGGCCUAGUGGUUAGAGCAUCCGCCUCAAAUGCGGGAGGUCUCGUGGUCGAACCCCGGUGGAGUCA